rnacentral:rRNA from 1 species
UACGUAGGGUGCAAGCGUUAAUCGGAAUUACUGGGCGUAAAGCGUGCGCAGGCGGUUUUGUAAGUCUGUCGUGAAAGCCCCGGGCUCAACCUGGGAAUUGCGAUGGAGACUGCAAGGCUUGAAUCUGGCAGAGGGGGGUAGAAUUCCACGUGUAGCAGUGAAGUGCGUAGAGAUGUGGAGGAAUACCGAUGGCGAAGGCAGCCCCCUGGGAUAACACUGACGCUCAUGCACGAAAGCGUGGGGAGCAAACAGG